CCUACGGGUGGCUGCAGUGAGGAAUAUUGGUCAAUGGGCGCGAGCCUGAACCAGCCAAGUAGCGUGAAGGAUGACUGCCCUACGGGUUGUAAACCUCUUUUGUCAAGGAAUAAAGUGAGGCACGUGUGCCUUUUUGUAUGUACUUUAUGAAUAAGGAUCGGCUAACUCCGUGCCAGCAGCCGCGGUAAUACGGAGGAUCCGAGCGUUAUCCGGAUUUAUUGGGUUUAAAGGGUGCGUAGGUGGGUCGUUAAGUCAGUUGUGAAAGUUUGCGGCUCAACCGUAGAGGUGCAAUUGAUACUGGCAGUCUUGAGUACAGUUGAGGUAGGCGGAAUGUGUGGUGUAGCGGUGAAAUGCUUAGAUAUCACGAAGAACUCCGAUUGCGAAGGCAGCUUACUAAACUGCAACUGACAUUGAUGCUCGAAAGUGUGGGUAUCAAACAGGAUUAGAUACCCGAGUAGUC
rnacentral:rRNA from 1 species